rnacentral:tRNA from 1 species
ACUAGUGUUGGUACUAGAGCCCCUCCUUAAGGACAAGGUCGUGGGUUCGAAUCCCACCCCUCCCA